GGGCUAGAGGUUUGUCUGUGCUGUGGAGAGUUCAGAUUUCACUGUACAAGGCAGUGGAAAUCACCGAACGCUUAAGAAGAGACACAGUCAGAUCUGCGCUUUGAGAGGAUCACUCGGUUGCUAUUUAGAGAACAGACAUUAGGAGAGUGAGGGGCAUAUGUUGCUCUUGGCAGAGGUCUGUUGAGAGAGACUUUGUCAUGUAUCAGUGGGAAAGAGAGAUGUGACUAGAGCCAGAGCCAGGAGGACUUGCAGGUGCAUGUGGGUGGGCCUGGAAGGGAAGGGGCGGAGCCUGUGCACACAGUGCGGGAGCAGGUGGUUGCAAGUAUGAACUGGGUGAGACAGACUAUGCCCAGGACUAGUUGGGGAGGAUUUUGUUUCCUUCAGGUAAAUGUUUUUAUUUUUACAAGAGUUCCAGCGUAAAGUACAUCACCCCUGGAUCACUUCACCUUUAGUCAAGUAAAAUUUGAAAUGUCACUGGGGCAUCUACAUGGAGAUACCAGGCAGUUGAGAUACAUGGAAGUCGGGAUCCGUAUCACAGUUUGGGAUUUGGGAUCAUAGCACAACUGGUACUUAGAACCUUGAAUCUGAGUUAAGCCCAAAAGAUUAGUAGACGGGGAUUGGGAUGUAGAAACUCUGGACAUCAAGAAGAAAGAAGCAUGGAGAGUUUGAGUGACCAGAGAAGGAAGAACAAAAUCCAGAGGGAGAUAAGAUACAUAUUUAUCUUCAAGACAGGGUUUCUUUGUAUCCUGAAACUUGCUCUGUAGACUGGGUUUGAACUCACAGAGAUCUUCCUGCUUCUGCAACCUGAGCACUAGGAUUAAAAGUGUGCGCCACCCCCACCAGCAGCAGCCCUGGCUCUCUCUUUUCACUUUCAGUGUCUGUCUGACCUCGGGUCCUUCCCUGGAUAAACAAAACAAGUCACUUUCCCUGCCUUCUCCUGGCUCAUUGCCCAGGAUUCAAGACGUGAGUCCCCACCACUGGCGAAAGAUUAUGUAUGGUCUCAGAAGGAGCUGCAAUUUUCUCCUCGAAAAGGGAAAACUCUAAAAUUGUAUAGUUGUAAAAGAAAAGUCUUUCAAGGUCAGAGGGGACUGGAAAUGUACAAUUUAGAGCAGCGGUUCUCGACAUGUGGCCCGUGACCCUUUGAGGGGUCAAACAAACCUUUCACAGGAAUUGUCUAAGAGUAUUGAAAAACGCAGAUAUGUGGAUUCGGAUUUAUAACAGUAGCAAAAAUUCCAGCAAUGAAUUAGCAAUGAAAUAAUGUUAUAGCUGGGAGUUACCCCCACGAGUGUAUUAAACGUUGCAGUGUUGGGGAAGUUGAGAACCACUGCUCUAGAGAACAGCUUGCCUUUCAUCUACUCUGCAAGGCAAGGCAAAUGUGUUGUGGGGACUGGGCUGUGUGCAGUCUGCUUCUGAGUAUGUCUGCCUUUAAGUGCAAUAUGAAAGAAACGCAUCAGAUAAGGAAAGGGAGGGAAGAGACUCGUGGGUAUGGCUUGAACAGUUGAUAUAGCAAUGUGCCAUCCAGGAGGAGGUUUAGUUGGUUGAUGCAAGCUUGACUUUGUGACCAGCAGUGCUGUGCAUGUUUCCUGAUUCUAGCGUUCAGUGUCUGAAUGAAAAGAGGUUUAGAGAGAAACCAAGUGGCUGGUAGAAAUGUAGCCUACCACUCUGAUACGAGCUGCAUCGAAACCUGUGGAAAUGAAAGACAGAAGUGCGAAAUCUCACUUCUCUUUUCCCGGUCUGAAGAUGCUAUUAAUAUAGAAGGGUGGACAGAAUAGGGCUCUGCACCGUAGGUAAGUCCUUCCUUUGAAGUCUGUGAUCUAGCAGAAGACCUGGUUUUAUAAAUGGGUCUAGGGAGGGUAAGUAAGGUAGCUACGUGGUAAGGUCUUGAUCAAGCAGAACUCAAGGCUUCCUGGGACUGCAAGGAGAAAGGUUUGCAUUCCUGCUAGUCUUGAUCAGAUAAAUAAAGGCCUGAAUGAAUAUUAACUCUUGCAGUUUAUUUUGUGCCAAAACAGAAAACAACAGUUUGGUUUUUUUGUUUGUUUGUUUUAUUUAUUUAUUUUUUAAUUAGAGGAAGUCAAGAAUAACGAAUAGCAAGAAUAUAAAUUUGUCUUCUUUUACCAGUAUUCUGACCCUUCUAUUGUGCAAAGCCUAAGAGAGAUGAAACUUUUUUCCCCUGAGGUAGUGGGUGUUGAAUUGAGGACCUCAUUCCUGUGAGGCAAGUGCCCUGCCACUGAACUGUGUCUCCAGAACCCUUGGCUCUGAAACAGUAGUUUAAACUUCAGUGGAUUUGCUGUUAAAUCACGUCUUACUGAAGGGGAUCUACACUGUUAUAAAUCUGCUUCAAUAGUAACUAUCGUCAAGUAUACUAUGACAGUUAUAGAAUAUUUAGGUAAGUGUUUACAUACGUGUAACAGGUAUGUGCUGCAUAUUGUAGAUGCUUACUUUUAACAUCGCAGCAGCAAUCUCACAAGUCAAGAUGGAGCAAACUAGAACUUGAUGGAUCUCCUUGUGAAUCCAAUACGGAACGUUAAAACGACGUAGCUGAUCUUUUAAUCCCUUGGUGUAAGCUGCUGGUUGUUAGCAGAGCUGGUACAACAUCUGUGCUGCCAGCCCUCCUUCCUGUGCCUGUGUGCUAAGGCCAUGCUUUCUGUCCCGGGCCUGAUAGCCUGAUAGUGUCUAGUCCUUCUUAGCUCAAGCUUUCUGACUGCUGUUCCCAGAAGGUCUCCUAGGACGAGGUCUCAGCAUGCAUCUCAGAAAUAAUAUUCUCUCAAAGCUUGAGUUCAUGUUCAAAAGUAGCAUUUUUAUUAAAAUAUCUGGAAUUGGGCUAUCCAGCCAUUACCUCCUGCCGUCCUUAGUCAAGUCCUACCUGUGAUACGGGAGGUCAGUGUUUGUGGACUGACUAGAGAAGGACAUUUUUGCAUGCACACACACACACACACACACACACACACACACACACACAGAGAGAGAGAGAGAGAGAGAGAGAGAGAGAGAGAGAACUUGUAUUUUUGAAGAGCC
rnacentral:lncRNA from 1 species